rnacentral:tRNA from 1 species
GAGGGUAUAGCUCAAGUGGUAGAGCGCAUGCUUAGCAUGCAUGAGGUCCUGGGUUCAAUCCCCAGUGCCUCUU